CUAUGCGCCUUGCAGCCCGCUCAGUCAGAGUUUGAUCCUGGCUCAGAAUGAACGCUGGCGGCAGGCCUAACACAUGCAAGUCGAACGGAGUUAUAUUGUAGCUUGCUAUGGUAUAACUUAGUGGCAGACGGGUGAGUAAUGUAUAGGAAUCUACCUAGUAGUACGGAAUAAUUGUUGGAAACGGCAACUAAUACCAUAUACGCCCGUACGGGGGAAAAAUUUAUUGCUAUUAGAUGAGCCUAUAUUAGAUUAGCUAGUUGGUGGAGUAAUAGCCUACCAAGGCAAUGAUCUAUAGCUGAUCUGAGAGGAUGAUCAGCCACACUGGAACUGAGAUACGGUCCAG
rnacentral:rRNA from 1 species